UUUUUUUUGUAUUUAUACUUUUCUUGAUUAUUAUUUUUUUCAAUCUCAUCCCUUACCAUUUUAUUGUAUUUAUUUUUUAAUCUAAUUUUGAUUCUCAUUCUUUUGAUUGCUAUUUUCUUAUCAUUUUCUUGAUUUAUAUAUAUUUUUAUCCCUCAACAUUUUAUUUCAUUUAGUUUUUUUAAUCUAAUUUUGAUCAUCAUUCUUUUAAUACUUUUUUAUCCUUUUUUA
rnacentral:lncRNA from 1 species